UCCUACGGGAGGCAGCAGUGGGGAAUCUUGGACAAUGGGGGCAACCCUGAUCCAGCCAUGCCGCGUGUGUGAAGAAGGCCUUCGGGUUGUAAAGCACUUUCAGCAGGGAGGAAGGCUUACCCCUAAUACGGGUGAGUACUUGACGUUACCUGCAGAAGAAGCACCGGCUAAUUUCGUGCCAGCAGCCGCGGUAUACGAAAGGUGCAAGCGUUAAUCGGAAUUACUGGGCGUAAAGCGCGCAUAGGUGGCUUGAUAAGCCGGUUGUGAAAGCCCCGGGCUCAACCUGGGAACGGCAUCCGGAACUGUCAAGCUAGAGUGCAGGAGAGGAAGGUAGAAUUCCCGGUGUAGCGGUGAAAUGCGUAGAGAUCGGGAGGAAUACCAGUGGCGAAGGCGGCCUUCUGGACUGACACUGACACUGAGGUGCGAAAGCGUGGGUAGCAAACAGGAUUAGAUACCCUGGUAGUCCACGCCGUAAACGAUGUCGACCAGCCGUUGGGUGCCUAGCGCACUUUGUGGCGAAGUUAACGCGAUAAGUCGACCGCCUGGGGAGUACGGCCGCAAGGUUAAAACUCAAAUGAAUUGACGG
rnacentral:rRNA from 1 species